rnacentral:rRNA from 1 species
CCUACGGGAGGCAGCAGUGGGGAAUAUCGGACAAUGGGCGCAAGCCUGAUCCAGCAAUACCGCGUGAGUGAUGAAGGUCUUCGGAUCGUAAAGCUCUUUAGUGGAGAAGAUAAUGACGGUAUCCACAGAAAAAGCACCGGCAAACUUCGUGCCAGCAGCCGCGGUAAUACGAAGGGUGCUAGCGUUGUUCGGAAUUAUUGGGCGUAAAGCGUACGUAGGCGGUUUAGUAAGUCGAUUGUGAAAUACCCGAGCUCAACUUGGGAAUUGCAAUCGAAACUGCUUGGCUAGAGUUUAGUGGGGGAUAGUGGAAUUCCUAGUGUAGGGGUGAAAUCCGUAGAUAUUAGGAGGAACAUCAGUGGCGAAGGCGACUAUCUACGCUAAUACUGACGCUAAGGUACGAAAGCGUGGGGAGCAAACAGGAUUAGAUACCCUGGUAGUCCACGCAGUAAACGAUGAGUGCUAGUUGUCGGGGUCUUAGACUUCGGUGGCGAAGCUAACGCGUUAAGCACUCCGCCUGGGGACUACGGUCGCAAGACUAAAACUCAAAGAUAGACGCGNGNGAGAGCGACGACGACGACGAGGAGGAGGAG